rnacentral:rRNA from 1 species
UACGUAGGGGGCAAGCGUUGUCCGGAAUUACUGGGCGUAAAGGGCGCGUAGGCGGACAGUUUAGUCAGAGGUGAAAGCCCAGGGCUCAACCUUGGAACUGCCUUUGAUACUGACUGUCUUGAGUUCGGGAGAGGUGAGUGGAACUGCGAGUGUAGAGGUGAAAUUCGUAGAUAUUCGCAAGAACACCAGUGGCGAAGGCG